CAGGUUCAGGUCUGUGGUUGAAAGUCCAAGCCAGGCACGGGCAAAGGGAUCCACGUAAGCUGCAAUGCGCAAGACGCGCGCAGUGAUCAUGGCGUGCUUUAGAAGUAAGUCCUCCGCAAAGCGGGUAAAGGCAGGUGUGGGGUCAAAGAUCAGGUCAGCUGAACCUG
rnacentral:ncRNA from 1 species